rnacentral:lncRNA from 1 species
UGUGGUAUUUCUUUUUUGUCUUUUAUUAAUUUCCCCUUUGAGCCCAGCAUCUUAAAAAAAAAAAAAAAUUCUUUAUGGAAAGUUGUCCUGUUCCUGCUUGCAUUGGGGGUAGAUGCAAAGGUAAUUGAAACUUCAUUUUUUGGUUUCCAAGCACACACAUAAAUAGCUGUAUAGAAAUUGUAAUUAGAUGAUAAUAGAACUUUGAGUGCUUUUAUAAGAGCAGUUUUGUCAGGAAACAUGUAAUCCUGAAGUAAAGGCAGUUAGAUUUGUUUUAAUAAGUAGGUUUGUUUUUUUGUUUUGUUGGUAAGCAUUUUUCAGAUUUCUGGAGAGAAGAAUGUGAUGAAUAGUUGGAAAGUGGUGAAGAUUUGGACUUUUGGGAUUUGAUCUGUCCUUUUAUUUUUUAAUUUAUUACUUAUUUAUUUUUGGCCGCGCCUGUUGGAAAUUAAGAUAACUCUGGCUCGGGCCAUCCGUGUGGGAAAGUGCGACCCGUGGGCAGGGAGACAUCUCGACAAGGCUCUUUACUUGUGCAGAAGGGCGCGGGUCCUCCAAAAAGCACGCGCCGAACAAAGGACCCUCCCCCGUUUAUCCCCAAGGCAGGUGAUGUACCUGUCCCCUUCCAUGGGUCGGGUCAGGGCACACCUUCUUCCUGGUCGGCUGAUCGAAACAAACUGUUGCUGGGAGAAGAGGGAAAGAGGAAGGGAGUGGAAGGGGGUCGCAGGGCGUUUCAGCCGAAACCGGAGCCAAAUGGAGUCACCAAGAUUUCCUUUGAUAGAAGAGACAUGAUGUCACUUUCCACAGCCCUACAGCAUGUGGACGUUCCCAGGGAUCCAACCCGAGCCACGGCAGUGACCCCAGCCGCUACAGUGACAGCGCCAGAUCCUUAACUUGCUCCGCCGCAAGGGAACUCCUGAUCUAUCCUUUCAGACUCGUAUGGGCUACUUAGUUGUCCAAAUGGAGAACUGACCUCUGGGAUCUGCUCCACCGUCACAGAGGAAAACAUGGGUUUUGGUCUUAGCGCCUCGGGACGCAGCUUUGCCUGGGCCCGAUGCCUGAUGGAGAACAUUUGGUCAGCAUGUGUGCCCUGACAUCAAAGGACGCAGUUCCACCAGUCUUGUUCUGGACAGGUUUGGUGGCCUAUGGCUUGGUCCCAGAACUUCCUGCCUGACCGAAAGCGGAUGAGAAGGUCAGAGCAGGAGAGCAGCAGAGUCAGCGCCUCUGGUCUGGCAUUUCUGGUCCCCCCUCCAGCCAGGGGAAGUGAUAGCUUUCUCUAUUACCCUGAGUGGGUUGCUUGCUCUGGGUGAUUCUGGUUCAGACUGAAUCAGAGGCUUGGCCUAGAAUUGCCUUGCCUCCCUUUGGCUCUUUGGAUGGGGCGAGAUUUGGUAUCAACCCUAAGAGUCUUACAGCGCGUUCUCUCCCAGUUCUUCCUCUUGCAAAUCCAAAUACCCUAGCCACUAAGAGAGUGAUUUCUGCAAUGCUGACAGACCACAUAUGCCUUCUGCAUAAGGAGCCUGGGCCAAGACAGGCUCCCUCUAUUGCCUGUGUUUCCAGGACUUGGAUCUGCCUCCUAAAAGACAACAAUCUGAUUAGAGUAACAUGAGCAAUUUUCCUUGAGAGGUUUCCUAGUUCCAUGAUUUGUAAUAUGUUUUUUAAUCUCAUUUUUCUUCUCUGCAUAAUGAAUCUGUCUAGUGUGGUGGCUGAAAAUCCAGACGCUUGUCCAUUUGCCUGAGUUUAGAACCUGGCUCUGCCGUGUGGGAGCUGUGUGACCUUGUGCAAGUUACCCUACCUCUCUGUGCCUCAGGUUCUUCCUCUAUAAAAUGGUGAUAACAGCCCCUGCCUUACAGGAUUGUUGUAAAGACUAUACAAGAUAGUCUACCCAGGCCUGGUAUAUAGUACGUGCUCAGUAAGUGCUCGUAUUAUUUGUUCAUAAAUAAUCAUGAACUUUAGUAAUGCAUUUUAUCGAGGGAGCCUUUGGAAUAUGUCACAUGACAGAAUUGCAAACCUGUUAGGUGUCUUUGGUAACAUUUCAAACAAAUGACUUUUACAAGCAUACAAAGGGAUGUGAUCGAGGACUUGAGAGGCUUGCCCUAGAAGAGAUUAUAAUCGGGUAGAAAGAGCUAGAAAAAUGAAACAAAAGCAAAGGAAUAUAACAAACACCGACCCCUGGAGGACUGAUGGUGCUGAUAUUUGCCAGUGCAACUUGAGGCAGCGGUUCUGGGAAGCCUGGGCACGAUAAAGGGUAACAGCUUUCGGAUGAGGGGGCCCCCUUCCCGAGAGGGGGGAUUCGGUACGUUCUUAGGUGAUCUUUUUGGGGUGGUUUGCUCAGCCCUUAGGUGUGUCUGCCUCUGAUCCCGGCCACUGCACUCUGGGCCACGUGAGGGCUGGAGGUGCCGGUCCCGGGAGCGGUAGACACCUCGCCCCCUACCUCGGAGCCGCCUCCCUUCCCGUCUGUGGAAUGUCGUCGGGUAGGUUUGUCCAGACCGGUGGCGGUUUGCGGGCCUUCUGCUUGUUUUCCAGUUAGCGGCGCAGGCCGGCGGGCCGGGCCGUCCUCAGCGCUUCCUGAUGGCUUUGCCUUCUGAUAGGGUGGGUUGGGAUGGGAACCAGAGCACAGAGGAAAGCGGUGGGUUUUGAGGUUAGGGUCACUGAUUUCAUUUACCCGUUUUCUCCCCCCANCCCCCCCCCCCCCCCCCCCCCCCCUUUUUUUUUUUUUUUUAAUCCCUGUUCCUUGUGGUUUGAGGCCUUGUUUUAAUAUCUGCGCAAAUUGGAGAAAGAGGGCUUUGUGUUGCAUGUAGCUGGAGUGGGGGAUGAACGGGUGCCUCAGUCGGGAUGUGUGUGUGUGUGUUCUUUAUUUUCCACUGGGACCUGGGGCUCCAGGGCUCCAGCUUGCCCCAUUCGGAACUAGUCCGGGCUCCUUAGGGCAUGAUUGUCUGUAAGGGGGAGGAGGCUUGGUCUAGGAUGUGCUCUUUCUUCACAUUCUGAAUUCCCGGCGGUGCUCAGUGUUAACCACCAGGGUGCUUAGGUUUCUGUGUUUCAUUAAUUUACCAUUAUGCUUAUUCUGAGGCACUCAACGAAAAUGUCUCUGAAUUCGGAAUCCUUUGGCUGAUCCUGACUUUCACGAAGCUCUUGCCUGCUGUUGCUUUUCCGUCUUGCUGUUAUUUCGGGAGGGACUAAGAGCUCUUCCGUCUCAGGAGUCAGCCUCGAUUCUCUUCCACCGCUCACAUCCGAAGGGGACUGAGGAGUUCUCUUGCGGCGCAGUGGGUUUAGGAUCUGCGGUUGUCAUUGCAGCAUCUUGGAUGGUUGCUGUGGCCCAGGUUCUGUCCCUGGCCUGGGACCUUCCAUGUUAUGGACAC